rnacentral:rRNA from 1 species
GACGAACGCUGGCGGCGUGCUUAACACAUGCGAGUCGAACGGAAAGGCCCUGCUUUUGUGGGGUGCUCGAGUGGCGAACGGGUGAGUAACACGUGAGUAACCUGCCCUUGACUUUGGGAUAACUUCAGGAAACUGGGGCUAAUACCGGAUAGGAGCUCCUGCUGCAUGGUGGGGGUUGGAAAGUUUCGGCGGUUGGGGAUGGACUCGCGGCUUAUCAGCUUGUUGGUGGGGUAGUGGCUUACCAAGGCUUUGACGGGUAGCCGGCCUGAGAGGGUGACCGGCCACAUUGGGACUGAGAUACGGCCCAGACUCCUACGGGAGGCAGCAGUGGGGAAUAUUGCACAAUGGGCGGAAGCCUGAUGCAGCAACGCCGCGUGCGGGAUGACGGCCUUCGGGUUGUAAACCGCUUUCGCCUGUGACGAAGCGAGAGUGACGGUAAUGGGUAAAGAAGCACCGGCUAACUACGUG